GAGUACCGUAUGUAUAUAGGUGGCCUGAUGCUUUUACCAGAGACAGACAUGAGAAGAAGCUGUGAUUGAGUUUAUCCUUAAAUUCCCCAGAAUAGAUGCUAAAGGUUAUUUCUAGACUGUAUAAAUUCAGGCUGUAGGGACUGAAUCUAAUAUUAGGUGAGCAAAUGUCUGUUUAUGCAAUGGGACUUCUCCUCAUUUUGUCUUCUUAUUUGUCCCAGCACAAGCUCAAAUUCUACAUGGAGGAAGCUCACAGAGAGACAUCACAUGAUUCUGCUCCAGUAUGAGAGCCCCCAGGAUCCUAGAAAAUGAUUCUAAGACUGCUCCAAAUGCUUUUGCCAAAAAGCCAUCCUUUCAAAUAAACCAAGAGAAAGACUCUGCGUUUGCCUGCGGGCGUAUUUCAAAAGAUAAGCCAUUCAUCCUGAAUGCAAUCUUGCUGGGGACAAAUUUAUUAUUUGACUUCACAACGCAAAAAUC